rnacentral:lncRNA from 1 species
AUGACAAGACCAUCAUCUAUCUAUCUACCCAUCCAUCCAUAUGCAUCCAUCUGUAUGUUUGCACUUCAAGCACUUUGGGAAACACCUUCACUAUUUCAGACCAUUCAGGCAAAUGAUUGCUGCGAUACCUCAGGGAACAGUUUAUUCUUUAACAAAAUUUGGUGGAGUGUUUUUGAAUUUUUGUUUUCUAAGGACCUCUGUACCGAUAAUCUAACAUUUUAGUAUCUCUCUAUGUUUCUAGAAUAAAAGAUGCCGUGCACUACAGCCACCAAUUCAAACACUCUCGUCACCCUAAGAGCUCUUGAAAUUGCACCUGGCGGAAAGCAUUUCCCAGCCAACUGGAAAUAAGGAAGAGUUCCCUUCCCCUCAUCCUGUUUGUUCCUGAAAUGCUCAUGAAUCUUCAUUUCUACCUUCAGAAAACAAUUACUAGACUGCUUGUACUUUCCUUAGCUGUUGAAGCUCCAAUGUCUAAGGAUGUAAACAUUUGUUUUAAGACAAUGUUUCCUUUAAUUAUAUAUCUUAGAAGAGCAAAUCGCCUACUUAACUCAAUCCCUUCAGAGGUUCCCAGUGAGAAUUUAUACACCUGAGCCCUAAAUGGAAAUUUGGGGUCAUUCAGUGUUUCUGAAGGGCAGGCAGGUGGAUAUCAAGUCCACAUCUUUUUAGGCAUUACUUUUAAUUACUUUAAAAGUAAACACCCUUCCCGUUAGAGUUGUGUUUCUUCAAUUAAUGAGAUAACAGAGCAGUGUUCCUAGGACACUGGCUGCUCCUCCGUGAUAGCAAGUAAACUGCACAAGCUACAUCUGUAAUUGGUUUUCUGAUCCAGCCUCAGCAAACACACAUGAGUGAAGUUCAUGGAAGGGAUAAACGGAUUUAGUUACCUUCACAAGCUACCUUCAAAGAGCAGUUUAAUUUUGUUUCCUUAUAGCAGCUUCCCUUCCCCCAGCCCAUUAGAGCUUCUUGAUUUAUGAUACAGUAGUUGUAGCUUUCCCAGUCAAGACAGGAUUUUCUUCUGUCAGAAAAUGUGGCUCCCAAGGAUACCGCCCUGGGAGAGUAAAUGAGAUUCUAAUAGUUCCAGAUUAUUACUAAAGGCAGAGUCAAGGAAAUAACUUUUAUUUUCUUUCUAUUAACCACACAUAGCAAUGAAAAUUCUCAAUUAAUAGGUUAAUUUAUAUGAUUUAUAGUUCAAUAUGCAGAAUAUUAAUCAUGAGACAUUAAAAGAAAUGCUUCCUGUUAAUAUCAGUUUUCUGUAGUAUCUAAGUUGCUUUGUAAGCUACAUGAUUUGUUACAAUUAGACAGGCAUGUUACUUACGAAGGCCAAAAUAAUAUUGGAAGGCCCCAAGGGCCAUUUGUUUUUACUAAUGCUGUACAAUUUUCUCUUAAUCAAUAACUAGAAUUUGCUUCGUUGGUCUUCUAAAGUCAAAUGCAUUUACAAUGGGAUCUGUUGCUAUUUUUCUGAGUAUUUUGUGUAUCAGAGCCUCCUUGUAAGUGGUUUGCUAUCAAUAAAUAAUCAAACAACAACAUACUGGAGGUCAUUACCCUUGAAAAACCUCAGUGGUUUAGAAAUUCAGUUCAAAUUUUGUACCUUAUUGUUAUCAAUACAAUUUAUGGCUAAAUAGCGGUAACAUUACAUGUGGGAUGUCUACGUGAACUAAGCACAGGAUCUGUUCCCAAGAUCUUGUGGUCUAAAAGGGGAAACCGACAAGAAGCCAGACCAUUGCAACGCGACGUGGCCAGCGGUGCAAUCCAUGCAUGAACGUGCAUCGUGACGGUGCCCCAGCGGCUGGGAGAGUCUCUGAAUGACCUUUAGGCCAGCACUUCCUAGAUACUUGGUCAUUUUACUGGAACUCCUUAAGUUCAGUCACUGGUUACAUGCAUAAUUGGAAAAGAGUUUUUAUGGAUGACUUUAGGAGCCAUAGCAGAGAAUUAGCUCUUAAAGUCAUUAUUGACUCUUCUGCAAUCAGAAAAGCACUAUGAUUAAGUAACAGUCUCUGUGGCGAAGCCACCUAGAACAAGCAGAUCUUGGAGUGGAGUGAGUCUAGAAAGUGCAGUUAGCUUUUGGCCUCUGUGGAGAAGGGAGGUGCUGGAGCCACCCUUUACCCACGCCCCAGUUAUG